rnacentral:rRNA from 1 species
AACGGCCGUACCAUGCUGAAUAUACCGGUUCUCGUCAAAUCACCGAAGUUAAGCAUCAUUGGGCGCGGUCAGUACUUGGGUGGGUGACCACCUGGGAACUCUACGUGCCGUU